UUUACACUAUUGUACAAACACAAAGACAGAUCAAAGAAUUGCCCAACAAUUUGAUUUUUUAUAGUAGACAACGUCUAUUAAACGUUUACAAAAAAUGCAUAAAGCAUUUUGUGAUGGCAGCAACAUUAAGUAAUGAUUCAUAAGAGAAAAAUUAAAUUUCAGCAGAUUAUGUGGCGCAGAAUGAAACAAAAUAAUCGGCCGAUCAAAACACAACCUCGUUCAGGUUUUUUCAUGUUUUUAAUUGCAAAAUUACUCUUCAAGUCAAAUCAAAUGCUUCCUGUUUCAGGAAAGGAUUUCAUUCGAAAAAUGCAAGAACAAAAUAUUUAUAGUGCAGAAACUACACAAGCAACUAAAAACGUCAACCAAACACAUAGAAAUUCACAAAAUUCUUGUAAUGUACGUGAGUGCAAUAACAAACCACAGAAGCAAAAUAAAUGCACCGGUAUUGCCGAGACGUUGACGCCGGCGAGCAGAUGAAGUUACUUCUAAAAAGUCAAAACACAAUUUUUUAUAAGGCUAUAGAUGUAGAGAAAUAACAAAGGCAAACUGAAAAUAUAGAAUUGUAUGAUUUUUUUUACGUGUGCAUGCACAUGGGGUUGGUAAAAAUGCACAACAAACAAACAAGUGUGGAGUGCAACGUAGAAUAACAGAGCGGCAAAGGCAGAGUGUGAAGAAAGAAAGAAAGAACCAAAGCAAAAUAAUGUGAUAACAAAUGGGUAGGCCAGUAAAAAUGAUUGCAGCGAAGGAACGUGAAAAAAUAAUAUGGCAUUGCAGCGGGGUAGAACGAAUCACGAAUGAAUGGAGACUAUUGGAAAUUUCCGUAGAAAGAAUAGCCUUCUGGAGGAAUUUGUAAACAACCUUGCACAGUUCAGUGUGAAAAUAUACUUAAAAUUAGCUUCCGACAACGAUAACUAGUGGAAAACCUUAUUUAUAUUCUGUCCGCGCUUCACAACCGCACCACAAAAGACCAAAAUUCGUUUUGAACAAACUCGAACAAACUU
rnacentral:lncRNA from 1 species